rnacentral:rRNA from 1 species
CAGGGAAUCUUCCACAAUGGGCGAAAGCCUGAUGGAGCGAUGCCGCGUGAAGGAUGACGGCCUUAGGGUUGUAAACUUCUUUUCUCAGGGAAGAGUGAGGACGGUACCUGAGGAAUAAGACACGGCUAACUACGUGCCAGCAGCCGCGGUAAUACGUAGGUGUCGAACGUUGUCCGGAUUUAUUGGGCGUAAAGGGUCCGUAGGUGGUUUGGUAAGUCUUCUGUGAAAGGUACAGGCUCAACCUGUAGAAUGCAGAAGAUACUGCUGAGCUCGAGACUGUCAGAGGAACACAGAAUUCCCGGUGUAGUGGUGAAAUGCGUAGAUAUCGGGAGGAAUACCAGUGGCGAAAGCGGUGUUCUGGGACAGUUCUGACACUGAGGGACGAAAGCGUGGGUAGCGAACCGG